AUCUGGCAUUUCCCCUAAACUCGGCUCCCCGAUAUCUUCCAAUUGUACCAUGGACGAGAUGCAAGCUACAGCCAGCAUGCCCGUAUCCUGAAGAAGAUCAAGGAAUACUUCCGCGGGAGAGAUCCCGGGGGGGAGAGAGACGAUACCCUAUGGAAAGACCCCACGAGCAACUCAUAUACUACAGGAGUAACGAAGAGAACCCAAAUCCUGUAAUGUCAAAAGCUUCCUUAGCCCACAAUUCACUUGAACUAGCCAGACCGAAGUACGUCUUUCCGUGAUAAUAAUGUCAUCAACAUAAACUGAGAUAAUUAAUGUACCUAGCCCUGAGACUGAGACGAAUAAAAGCAAGUAUGACUGAGUGGCACUGCUGAAAAUCCCGAGACAAGACUACCUCACUAAGCAGUGGAACCAAGCCCUAGGAGACUGCUUAAGGCCAUAGAUAGAUUUUCGGAUGGCGAUUAAACAUUCCCCGAAUAAUCCUCUCGAGCCCGAAAACCUGAGGUGGGAUCCAUAUAUAUAGUCUCUGAGAGAUCACCAUUGUAAGCCACACAAGCCCAUCUUGACAUCCAAGUGGUGAGAGGUCACGACGUCCGGAGCAGCACAGCAAGGGAAAUCAAAAGACGCAAUGGUAUUCACUUUGGCCAACUAGGGCAACCCAGUAGCACCACAAUCCUUACCAGGGAAUCUGAGUAAAAACAACCGUAGCAACAAGAACGAGCCUUAUAUCGAUCAAACAGUGCGCUUUCCUUUCAAGGCAACGCAAUAAGAUCCAGUCGAUUUCGCUGAAGAGCCUCCAUCUCCGCCUUCAUGGCCGAAACCUACAAAAGGAUUUGGUUAGAGCUUCAUAGACUGAAGCGAGGAUGGAAAUCGAAUCACCUGACUAAGAAAAAGACUAUUAGAAUCUGAAAGACCGUGAUAAGACAAAUAUUGUGCAAUAGGCUGAUUAGUACUAUGAAAAAAGAAAACGAGAAGGGGACGCGAAACACGUGUGGGAUACCGAGGUGGGGGGAAUAUUAGAAACUAAGGAGGAAACAUACCUAACUCCGGAGGGGAGAAGACAACUGGCAAUGGAUAUAGGAGACGAGGGGGAGGGAUUUGGUGUUUGGGGUAAUGAGAGGCGAUCGGGGGCAUGGAGCCAGUUGGUGGAGAGUUAGUUGAUAAAGUAGGCUCAAGUAUAGGAAGAGGACGAGGAGGUAUGGGGGUCAUCUGAGUAAGCAUCUCAGAACAAGGAACCCGGAGAAGGAGUUGGGCAAUCAGAAAAAAAGAGAACAGUUUCCCAAAAAACGUGACUCUAACAAGUGAGACAUAUGACGAGGACAGGAUCAUAACAACCUAUACCCCUUGACAUCGAGGAAUACCCGAGGAAAAUACAACGUACGGCUUAUCAUCUAGUUAGUACGGGUGUUGGGUCCCAAAGGACACGGGGGAUAAAGGAAAUAGGGUAUUAGCAGGAUGAAGGACAUGGCGAGGAGCCCGCCUGUAAUACCCGACUGGGAGGCCGAUUUGAUAAGGUAGGUAGCAAGUGAGAACUGCCAUGUGCCACGAAAUACUUAGGUACCCUCCUACCCCGUAAGAGACACGAAACCCGACAUAAAAAAAAUUAUGACAAUUUGUUAGCUCAGCUACCCCAUUCUUCUCAAGGUGGUGUAGGACAUGUAAGUUGUUGGGAGUUACCACUUUUUUUUAAGUUUCCCACAGAAACUCAUGUGGAUAUACUUCUCGACCAUAUCGGACCUGAUGUUACGCCACAUUCAGUGUAAUUGGGUUUUGAUCAUUUGUAGGAAGUGAGUAAAGUGAGGAAAAAUCUCAGAUUAUGAAGCAGUAAGGUAGGACUAAGUACAACGCAUGUUAAAUCAUCUAUGAAGGUUGACAUAAUAGCGGUGUGAGAGAGUGCAGUAACUGGAGACGGUCCCCAUACGUCUGAAUGAAUAAGUCCAAAGGCACUAGGGGCCUACGAUGCAUACCGAGGAAUAUAAGAGGGGCACGAGGAUGCGUAGUAAACUCACAAAAGCACAGUUAAAAAAUUAAAUUUUUGACAUGCUUAUGAACGAGGAAAAAAGACAACAUAAAUAUUGAAAGUUAGCAUGCCCUAAACGAGGCAGCAUGCCACAAAUCUAAGGUGUGAAACAAAAAAAUAGACGCCUUUAAACCAGACGAACUUAAAACAGAUUGACUCUAACACUGGAGGAGGAGAAAAACCUGGAAGGCUAGAUGACACCGUACCUAGAGGUUAAAGGAUCCCCAAGUAGUAUAGUCCAUCCCGCUUCAUACCCCUUGCCAAAAAUCUUCUUCGAAUCAGGUCCUGCAAGAAGCAAAGAGAUGGUAAGAAAAACAAAGGCACAAAUUAAGAUAUUUUGCAAAGGGGACGACUAAAGACGACUGAACAAAAAGAGGAUUAGAGGGGCAAAAUGAGGUGGUACAUUAAAUAUACAGAUGAAAGGGUAAUAUCGGAGAGGAUAAAAAACGAGCAAACUUCCCUGAUACGAAUGGGGAAUGGGAUGAACCAUUCAGAAUAUAAAUUGAUUGAUGAACAAAAGUAAUAAGGAGUAAAGGUAGUAAGCUCACCAAUCAAUGGAUUAUUUGCUCCUGAUCAAAAUCCAAGUGGGGUGACCUGACUACCCAUGAAGAGCGGGAGGAGUCUAUGCAACUAUAGCGGUGGGGGCCAAAGGAUUGGGACGGCAGGUGCUAAUCCCAGGUGACUUGCCAAGAUGAGCAAUCAGAGCUGAAAGUUGUGAAAGUGUUUUGAAGUCAAGUAAAUUAGCAGGUAUAGGGUCCACUUCAGCAAUACCGCCAGUCCGGGGUAGGCCUCUACCUCGGCCCCACUACGGUCCACCCCCACGACCACCUCCACGAGGUCGAGAAAACCGUUGCUUCAAAUCAGGAUGGAGGAACCCAACAGCGAUCCAAUGAGGUGGACCGGACCUUGUGACAGUGUGAACAAUAUAAGUGGUCCCUGAAGAAAAAACAAAUGCCAUAUGUUGUUUAGGAAACAAUAGGAGAGGACUCGAGUAGUGAAAAGGAUGGUUUAAAGACGGACGCCUCUGCUCAUCACCAUCCACGUAGCAAACGCCUCAUUAAAGGGAAGACAGCUGGUUGAUGUGUUUAAAAUGAGUGCGAAGAGGUCCCAAACUCAGGUUUUUAAACCCAUCAAAAACUGAUAGGUAUGUUGACAUCAAGGGCAUUGGACUAACGCUCCAAUCAAUAGGAAAAUCACUGAGGGCUGUAUUGCAAGCUAAUUACUCCCAUCUUAGUCUGAAGAUAUCCAAAAUAACGGCAAUAGAGAGUUCCAAGGAAUGAGCUGAGAUGAAUGAGCGAUCUUCGGUCGGAUAACUCAAACAAUCGGGACUCUUGCGGGAAUGGCAUACAUCUGGGUCAAUGCAGUCCCACAACCCCAUGGACAGUAUCAUGGUACAUAAACAUGUGUAGACUCGAUCUCCAUCGAGUUGAACAUUCCAGCCCACGAUAAUACAGUAUCUGGAAAUCUAUUUCAUCAAACUUGGGAUCAGAUUCAGCAGGUUUUGGUUCUUUUCCCAGAAUCCAAGGGUCUUGACGCUUUUCACCAAGGAAAAAAAAAGCUGUGGAAUGGAUGAAGGAACGAGACCAAGCAAUGAAAGUUCUUUCCAUUCACAACACGCUCGUUAAACGUUGAGCUGGUGAGACUGAGAAAGAGAAACUGGAACUGGGGCUCAAAACCGGAAACUAUAUGGGCUGGGGAAACUCUUUGAGGAGUCAUCCAUACGCAACACCAAGAACACAAUCGUAAAUUAAUCAGACUUUUUGUACUUUUUUGUUUAGAAUGCAUCAUUACCUAGGCCAGCAUGGUAGACUGCAAAAUGAAGGAUGGGCUUGGGAUGCGUGGUUUGUGGGUGUUGGCUGGACUAGGCUGCACAGGCUGGCUGGCGGACUGGGCUGGCUAGAACUGCCCAUAGCCUUGGUGCACAGGCUGGCUGGCUGGACUAGGCUGUGGAUGAAUUCGGGCUGCACGGCCUUGGCUGCACAGGCUGGAUUGGUGUGGACUGGGCUGCACAGGCUGGAAGGGGGGUAGGGUAGAAUGCAGGGGCUGUGCUGAAAACUACAAGCCUUGGAUUGGCUCUGCACGGUGCAGCGGCAGGGCUGCGUGGUCAAGGAGCAGGGACUGAUGGUGGUGGGGCUGCGUGCUGCUGGACAGAUGGGCUGCGUGGUUGCUGUUGGGACUACCCCACGCCAGGGCUGCACAGGAUGUGCUUGGCUGCACGGUGCAGGGGCAGGCUGCUGGUGGUGGCUGUUAGGGUUUGGGCUGCUUUUUACGACCAUUGGAGGCUAGGUUUUUGUUUUUUGUUGUUGUUGACUUGAUGCCAAGAAGAAGAAGUUUAGAAGGCUUAAAUUUUAUUCCUCCAAAGUUCUCAAGAUCUAAUACACAUGUAGGAAUUAAAUUAGGAAAGAAAUAAGGGAAAAAUUAAAAAGAGAAAUCAUUGGUAUUGGUCAACAUGACCUAUUAUAAAUAACCUACGAUAGGAAAUUCUCAUUAAAUUAAGGUAAAGAAAUCUUCUUAACCUGCCAACAGAUAAUCAGUUUGUGAAAAGCCACCAAAACAACAGACUUACAGAGCGUGACGCCCCCGACAGAGUUUGCUACAGAGAAGUUCAUCCAAUUACGUAGCAUUAAGACGAAAAUUUACAAAUUGAUAAUGACACGUAUUCACAUUUUAGGUACUAGGUGUAUUUUAUACACGACUGGAAGGCACGCCCAUCAACUUUUGCGCUUAAUGUUUGGAUGAUUGACCACUUAAAAAUGUUUGAACUUGAGACUUAGUGGUUGAAAUCCUAUGUUUUUGCCAUCAAACCAACCCUCUUGAUUACUGCACAUUAUUGUUCUUUUCACAUGGUUUUCGAUAUUCAGCUGAUUGAUUGGUAAAGUUUAAAUAUUUGGUAGUGUCGUUGAGAUGAAAACCAAUUUAUAGUGAAGAUUAUUAUAUAUGUGAUAGUCAUGAAUAAUUUAUUAAUUUGUUCUUGAUGUUGAUAUAACUAAUUAACAUAGUAGAAUAUUUGAAUCGGACUUCAAUGCGAUGAAGGUAGGUAAGAAAGUGGCAAACCACGUAAAUUUAGUAUCUUGUGAUUAUUUCAUUGUUAUUUCAUUUGUAUUGUUUGUUAAUUUGUUUUAAUCAUUAAUUUGUUUGAACCUAGAGAAGGAAGACGACAGAUGAAUUAAUUAAAAUUCAUAUGGGAGAAUUUGAAGAAAAUUGUCUUUUGUUGGUUUUUCACCACGGUGAGAGAAUUUCUAAUGAUUUAUGUCAUUCUAGCAAUGUUAUUUUCAAAAUUUAUGAUUUUUACCAUUUUAGCCGUAUUAGUGUUAAAAUUUAGUAUAUUACAAUAUUAUUUUGUCAUUAAUAUUGUUGCAUUGAUUGAAUAUUAUUUUAGUUAUACUAAUAUUUUUUUUAUUAUGGAUCAAAUUUUCACCUAGUAUCAAAAUUGCAUUUUAUUGAUCAUUGUGAAAACAGGCUACCUAAAUUUAAAAAGACACAUUUUGACUAGUUAAUUUGGUUUUAAUUGCUGGGAUGCUCUUAGGUCAAGUUCAUACUUGACCCUUGUGUCUAUUUGUCAUUAAACUUAAUUCAGUAGCUAGCACAAGAUCAGAAAGCUAUAUUGACAUUGGACUUGAAAUGUAAGAGAUUAACUGAUAUAAUUGAAAAUUAAAGUUAUAAAAUGAGAUUAGUAAAAGUACAUUAGAGAAAAGUUUAACUUUUUGAACAUUAAAGACGGGAUGAAGUAGAAAUUUUUAAUUUGCCAAAAUCAUCUGAUUGAACAAGUUAGAGAGGAGAGAGAGAGUGACGUCUUGUUCCCCUUUUCUGGGCCAUUAAACGCGCCAGUGGCUAGGGGACUGUCUCAUUGUUUGCGUCUGGAGGAAUACCAAGUUGGAAACAACCUUGUGUAGGCCAGUCCAUGUUUUCUCCUACCCAUUUCCAAAGGAGUUUGUAUGUAGAACUCCGUAGGGCACUGAGUUUGAGGAGGGAGGCAAUUCGUCUCUUCCAUGCUUUUGAGAUCACAUAAUAGUUCCAAACUAAACACUAGAAAAUGUACUACCUAUUUUUAGUCGGGUAUUGAAAUAUUUAUACUUUGACCCUCCAAAUUACACUUGUCAAGUCCUUUGUCAUAGAUACCUUUUAUGUUGUUUCGUGUUUGUAGGUCAUUUGAGCCUAUUAUACGAUCCUUUGGAUGAAUUUCAAAGGUUUGAAAUUUGUCCAGCAGUCAAAAAAGUCAUUUUCCAAAGCUUGUUACCAAAGCGUUAAAGCUUCCAAAGUACAAGGGGCUGAACUAUAAUUUUGGGCAAAAUCUAUAUACCAAAAAAAAAGAAACAGGGUUAAAUCCUAAUUUGGUCCUUAAACUAUUUCAAAUUUAUUUACUUCAUCUCUCAUCUACCAAUUGUAUUUAUUGAGUUAUCUAACAAAUCAAUUUAAGUCAAUUGUUUUCAAUUGAGGACCCGUCAUUUAAAAAGUGGACGUCAUCUGUCCACAUGACAUGCACGUAAGGACAAAAUAGUAUUUUCGUACGUGAAUGAACACGAAACACACAUGGGUCACCCUAAUUGACUUUAUACUCUGGUAAUCGAUCACCAAUUUGGGCAAAAUUGGUGUUUAGAGUUUUUAACAAACGAGAGUUUGUGUCCAAAUCGAUAAUGUUUUGGAUUCUAAGAUCAGGUAAUAACUACCUUCAAUUUUGUGGAGGUUAUGUGAAUGGAUACCAUCUACUUUUUAGAUGGCAGGUCAUUAAUUGGAUUUGAUCCAUGUAAAUUGAUUAGUUGGGGAACUCAAUAAGUGCAAUUAGUAGUUUAAGGACAAAGUAAACAAAUUCGGAAUAGUUUAAGGACCAAAAUAGUAUUUAAUCGAAGAAAAAAAAACGCUAGUUAGUAAAAUCAUUUAGAAUUGAUCUAUGGUCUUGAUUUGGGGAAUGAAAUCCCUUGAUGGCCGUUUAUCCUCUCAAUCAAUCAAUUAUAAUAUGGGGAGUGAUUUUAGGCAUUUGGAAUAUUUGUCCGUCGUUAGUGGUGCUCUUCUGCUUCUGGAGUCUGGACGUCUCAGGCGGAUCAUUGGAUGUGGCAACGCUUAGUAGCUCAUCUUGGCCGGCCAAUCAUUCCAAGCAGUAACACCCGGUGAGUACACCGAAUUAUUUCAUCGAAUGACUUGCGUUGUCUCCUACGUAAUUCCUAGUGAUUUCGAAUUCCCUUUUAUAAAACACCCAACCCAAUAGAACAAUAAAGUCUGAUUCUCUUGGUAGGAAAUGAAGCAUGUAAUUUGAAGUCUAUCAUUAGUUAAAUUCUUUAAGUUUAAAUUUAUCAAAAAUUAGAUAGAACAGUCUAUAGUAACGCUUAUCUGCUGCUAGUGCUGAUUUAGAAACUCUUAUACUUUGGGGGCUCACUAUCCUGUCUUUUCAAAUGUCACACCAUCUUCGAUUGUAUUGAACUAUCCAAUCCAAACAUUUUGGAUCCCAUUCUGAAUCUAUUCUAAAGAUUCAAAUCGUUCAUAUUAUAGAAUCCGUUGUGAAAAUCAAUACUAUAAAAAAAUAUGUUAAUUGGAUACAAAAUAUUAUCCAUUUAGUACUAUUUUAUAACUUAAUAAAUGAAUGUGACACACAAUAUAAUAUACAUUUAUCUUCAUAUAAAUUGAUAUUGGUAUGUGAUUAUUUACUGUAUUAAAGUUCUUACGUAAACUCUACAAUAUGAACAAUUUAGAUCAGAAAAAUGGGUCUGAAACGAUACCCAAAAUAUUUGGACUGCACUUAUGCUUUCCAAAAUUGGACUGUGUAGAAACUGUCCUAUCAUUGGGUGUUGUGUGAGAGAGAUAGGAGAGGAGGAGGAGAAGAGGAGGGUAGGUAAGGAUUGCCUGGUGGGCGUGGGAUGAUGGUGGGUCCGGUGGGUAUGAAAAAUAGGUCUAGUAUUGUUAUAUGAUAGUUUCUUAUAACUUUUUUUUAAAAAAAAUUUGGAGUAGAGAGAAAGCAAAAUUUUGAUGAACUUUUGUUUUUUUUAACCUUUUUUAACUUAAAAACUCUAACUUUUAACAUCUAAAUCUUUAUAACAUUUACGGCAUUUGUACUUUUUAUUAUAUUUUGAUAAAAUAUAAUAAAAGAUUUAAUAUAGAUAGAUAGAUAGCCUAUUUCAAUUUGAGCAUUUCAAAUGAGGUUUUAGAGGUUUUGGGUUGGAGAUUAAUUAUCAAGACAGAGGUACGCAUUACAACAAUGGAAUGGUACAUGAUAUUAUCAUGACCUAUAAGCGUUGCAACAUACGAAUCAAAUCAAGUGAAAGCUAUUAAUCACUCUUGCUUACUCUCAACUGACACAACAAAUUUAAAUUUAAAGCUUGGACACAACUUUAGUGGGCUGUCAUCAAAUGGACCGUCCACAUGCUCUCUUUCAUUUUCUUCAACCUCCUUCUUUGAACUCUUUCCAUAGCGGUUUCUGGGCACAUCAUUAGUAACCACAGUCCCAUCUUCCCCCUAUUUCUUUAAACCUUCAUAAAGCUAAUCAAAGGGGACUCCCUAGCGAGGCCGCCAUACCGAGUUUCUCCACCCCCCCAAAUCUAUCGCGUCAAAGCCAACGCGGGUCGUAUCAGAACAAAUAUAGAUUCCCCGCCACCGUAUGAAGAGGUCGUCCCUUAGUCACAUAAGAUCUGCCCGGACCCAAUACUCUCCGGUCAUUGGGUCCUUCGCCUUCUUCACUCCUCCCUACUAUUCAGCGGGGAAUCGAAAUCAUUCCAGCUCUUGAAACUGCAGCUGGAAAGGCAAAGACAUUUCCAUAGUAUCCUCGAGGUACACGCAGGUCGUGCUUUCCACGUCCGGUGGCUGCACACGAGAUGCGAAUCGUCUCAUUGGGGUCUAGACCAAGUGCACAAGUUCGGCAUCUCCAUAAACACGCGGUUAAGACGUCGAAUGUGGUGCUUGUUGAGCGGGGGUGAAGCGAAGAUGGCUUCGAAUGGC
rnacentral:lncRNA from 1 species